rnacentral:rRNA from 1 species
UACAGAGGUGGCAAGCGUUGUUCGGAAUUACUGGGCGUAAAGCGCACGUAGGCGGCUUUGUAAGUUAGAGGUGAAAGCCCGGGGCUCAACUCCGGAAUUGCCUUAAGACUGCAUCGCUCGAAUCCAGGAGAGGUGAGUGGAAUUCCGAGUGUAGAGGUGAAAUUCGUAGAUAUUCGGAAGAACACCAGUGGCGAAGGCGGCUCACUGGACUGGUAUUGACGCUGAGGUGCGAAAGCGUGGGGAGCAAACAGG